CCUAUGGGGUGCAGCAGGCGCGAAAACUUUACAAUGCGGGAAACCGUGAUAAGGGAACUCCGAGUGCCCGUAAAAUCGGGCUGUCCACCAGUUUAAAUAACUGGUGAAGAAAGGGCCGGGCAAGACCGGUGCCAGCCGCCGCGGUAAUACCGGCGGCUCGAGUGGUGGCCACUAUUACUGGGCUUAAAGCGUUCGUAGCUGGUCUGUUAAGUCUCUGGGGAAAUCUACUGGCUUAACCAAUAGGCGUCUCAGGGAUACUGGCAGACUAGGGACCGGGAGAGGUGAGAGGUACUCCAGGGGUAGGAGUGAAAUCCUGUAAUCCUUGGGGGACCACCUGUGGCGAAGGCGUCUCACCAGAACGGCUCCGACAGUGAGGGACGAAAGCUGGGGGAGCAAACCGGAUUAGAUACCCCAGUAGUCC
rnacentral:rRNA from 1 species